UACGUAGGGUGCGAGCGUUUGUCCGGAAUUAUUGGGCGUAAAGAGCUUGUAGGCGGUUUGUUGCGUCCGCUGUGAAAACUCGGGGCUUAACCCCGAGCCUGCAGUGGAUACGGGCAGACUAGAGGUAGGUAGGGGAGAAUGGAAUUCCCGGUGUAGCGGUGAAAUGCGCAGAUAUCGGGAGGAACACCGGUGGCGAAGGCGGUUCUCUGG
rnacentral:rRNA from 1 species